AGCGUACACGGUGGAUGCCCUGGCAGUCAGAGGCGAUGAAGGACGUGCUAAUCUGCGAUAAGCGUCGGUAAGGUGAUAUGAACCGUUAUAACCGGCGAUUUCCGAAUGGGGAAACCCAGUGUGAUUCGUCACACUAUCAUUAACUGAAUCCAUAGGUUAAUGAGGCGAACCGGGGGAACUGAAACAUCUAAGUACCCCGAGGAAAAGAAAUCAACCGAGAUUCCCCCAGUAGCGGCGAGCGAACGGGGAGGAGCCCAGAGCCUGAAUCAGUGUGUGUGUUAGUGGAAGCGUCUGGAAAGGCGCGCGAUACAGGGUGACAGCCCCGUACACAAAAAUGCACAUGCUGUGAGCUCGAUGAGUAGGGCGGGACACGUGGUAUCCUGUCUGAAUAUGGGGGGACCAUCCUCCAAGGCUAAAUACUCCUGACUGACCGAUAGUGAACCAGUACCGUGAGGGAAAGGCGAAAAGAACCCCGGCGAGGGGAGUGAAAAAGAACCUGAAACCGUGUACGUACAAGCAGUGGGAGCACGCUUAGGCGUGUGACUGCGUACCUUUUGUAUAAUGGGUCAGCGACUUAUAUUCUGUAGCAAGGUUAACCGAAUAGGGGAGCCGAAGGGAAACCGAGUCUUAACUGGGCGUUAAGUUGCAGGGUAUAGACCCGAAACCCGGUGAUCUAGCCAUGGGCAGGUUGAAGGUUGGGUAACACUAACUGGAGGACCGAACCGACUAAUGUUGAAAAAUUAGCGGAUGACUUGUGGCUGGGGGUGAAAGGCCAAUCAAACCGGGAGAUAGCUGGUUCUCCCCGAAAGCUAUUUAGGUAGCGCCUCGUGAAUUCAUCUCCGGGGGUAGAGCACUGUUUCGGCAAGGGGGUCAUCCCGACUUACCAACCCGAUGCAAACUGCGAAUACCGGAGAAUGUUAUCACGGGAGACACACGGCGGGUGCUAACGUCCGUCGUGAAGAGGGAAACAACCCAGACCGCCAGCUAAGGUCCCAAAGUCAUGGUUAAGUGGGAAACGAUGUGGGAAGGCCCAGACAGCCAGGAUGUUGGCUUAGAAGCAGCCAUCAUUUAAAGAAAGCGUAAUAGCUCACUGGUCGAGUCGGCCUGCGCGGAAGAUGUAACGGGGCUAAACCAUGCACCGAAGCUGCGGCAGCGACGCUUAUGCGUUGUUGGGUAGGGGAGCGUUCUGUAAGCCUGCGAAGGUGUGCUGUGAGGCAUGCUGGAGGUAUCAGAAGUGCGAAUGCUGACAUAAGUAACGAUAAAGCGGGUGAAAAGCCCGCUCGCCGGAAGACCAAGGGUUCCUGUCCAACGUUAAUCGGGGCAGGGUGAGUCGACCCCUAAGGCGAGGCCGAAAGGCGUAGUCGAUGGGAAACAGGUUAAUAUUCCUGUACUUGGUGUUACUGCGAAGGGGGGACGGAGAAGGCUAUGUUGGCCGGGCGACGGUUGUCCCGGUUUAAGCGUGUAGGCUGGUUUUCCAGGCAAAUCCGGAAAAUCAAGGCUGAGGCGUGAUGACGAGGCACUACGGUGCUGAAGCAACAAAUGCCAUGCUUCCAGGAAAAGCCUCUAAGCAUCAGGUAACAUCAAAUCGUACCCCAAACCGACACAGGUGGUCAGGUAGAGAAUACCAAGGCGCUUGAGAGAACUCGGGUGAAGGAACUAGGCAAAAUGGUGCCGUAACUUCGGGAGAAGGCACGCUGAUAUGUAGGUGAAGCGACUUGCUCGUGGAGCUGAAAUCAGUCGAAGAUACCAGCUGGCUGCAACUGUUUAUUAAAAACACAGCACUGUGCAAACACGAAAGUGGACGUAUACGGUGUGACGCCUGCCCGGUGCCGGAAGGUUAAUUGAUGGGGUCAGCGCAAGCGAAGCUCUUGAUCGAAGCCCCGGUAAACGGCGGCCGUAACUAUAACGGUCCUAAGGUAGCGAAAUUCCUUGUCGGGUAAGUUCCGACCUGCACGAAUGGCGUAAUGAUGGCCAGGCUGUCUCCACCCGAGACUCAGUGAAAUUGAACUCGCUGUGAAGAUGCAGUGUACCCGCGGCAAGACGGAAAGACCCCGUGAACCUUUACUAUAGCUUGACACUGAACAUUGAGCCUUGAUGUGUAGGAUAGGUGGGAGGCUUUGAAGUGUGGACGCCAGUCUGCAUGGAGCCGACCUUGAAAUACCACCCUUUAAUGUUUGAUGUUCUAACGUUGACCCGUAAUCCGGGUUGCGGACAGUGUCUGGUGGGUAGUUUGACUGGGGCGGUCUCCUCCUAAAGAGUAACGGAGGAGCACGAAGGUUGGCUAAUCCUGGUCGGACAUCAGGAGGUUAGUGCAAUGGCAUAAGCCAGCUUGACUGCGAGCGUGACGGCGCGAGCAGGUGCGAAAGCAGGUCAUAGUGAUCCGGUGGUUCUGAAUGGAAGGGCCAUCGCUCAACGGAUAAAAGGUACUCCGGGGAUAACAGGCUGAUACCGCCCAAGAGUUCAUAUCGACGGCGGUGUUUGGCACCUCGAUGUCGGCUCAUCACAUCCUGGGGCUGAAGUAGGUCCCAAGGGUAUGGCUGUUCGCCAUUUAAAGUGGUACGCGAGCUGGGUUUAGAACGUCGUGAGACAGUUCGGUCCCUAUCUGCCGUGGGCGCUGGAGAACUGAGGGGGGCUGCUCCUAGUACGAGAGGACCGGAGUGGACGCAUCACUGGUGUUCGGGUUGUCAUGCCAAUGGCACUGCCCGGUAGCUAAAUGCGGAAGAGAUAAGUGCUGAAAGCAUCUAAGCACGAAACUUGCCCCGAGAUGAGUUCUCCCUGACUCCUUGA
rnacentral:rRNA from 1 species